GAAAAGGAAAAAAAAGGAAAAAAAAAAGGAAUUUCUUAAACCAUAAACCCUACAGAAAGCAUUUUGACAGGAAGCAGAGAAAACUCCCUGCCAACUCUGCUACUUCCGGCAGCUGUACUGUAUUUUUCCCGUUUCUUCUUACAACAUAUUGAAAUUAUAGGGGCAAUGUUCAGAGCUGCUGCAACUGUUGCUUCAUCAAUCAGGUCUCUCUGUGUCCUCAACUUCCAGGAAAUUGGUUUCUAGUAGGUUCAUCUCCAGCAGAAAUUAUGUAGCCAAGGAUAUCAGUUUUGGUAGCCACGCACGGUUAGCCAUGUUACAAGGGGUUAAUGAGCUCUCAGAAGCUGUAAAAGUCACUAUGGGACCAAAGGGUCGUAAUGUGAUUAUUGAGAAAAGCCCAGGGAAUCCCAAGGUCACAAAGGAUGGUGUCACUGUAGCCAAAAGCAUCAACUUUAGUGAAAAGGCAAAGAAUUUGGGAGCUGAUCUUGUGAAGCAGGUCGCAAAUGCUACUAAUUCAGUUGCUGGAGAUGGUACCACCUGUGCAACUGUGCUUACUCAGGCAAUUUUUAUAGAAGGUUGCAAAGCAGUUGCUGCAGGUGUAAGCGUGAUGGAUUUGCGUAGUGGUAUUAACAUGGCUGUUGAUGCUGUUGUUGCUGACUUGAAGAGCAGAGCAGUCAUGAUUAGCACCCCGGAGGAGAUUACACAGGUGGCAACUAUAUCUGCUAAUGGUGAACAUGAAAUUGGGGAACUAAUAGCUCGAGCCAUGGAAAAAGUUGGGAAGGAAGGAGUGAUUACUGUUGCUGAUGGAAAUACCUUAGAUAAUGAUUUGGAAGUGGUGGAAGGCAUGAAGCUUGGCCGAGGUUAUAUAUCUCCUUAUUUUGUCACGGAUGAGAAGACUCAAAAAUGUGAAUUGGAAAAUCCAUUGAUCCUUAUCCAUGACAAGAAAAUCUCAGAUUUGAACUCACUUGUGCGGAUAUUGGAGCUUGCUCUUAAGAGAAGGAGGCCUCUGUUGAUUGUUGCUGAAGAUGUGGAAAGUGAUGCAUUAGCUAUGCUUAUCCUAAAUAAGCAUCGUGCUGGGAUUAAGGUCUGUGCCAUUAAAGCUCCUGGUUUUGGGGAUAAUAGAAGAGCCAACUUGGAGGACCUUGCAGUUCUUACAGGAGGAGAGGUCAUUAGUGAAGAACGUGGUUUGGAUCUGAACAAAGUUCAAAUUGAUAUGCUUGGUACUGCCAAAAAGGUUACUGUUUCCCUUGAUGGCACCUUAGUUCUGCAUGGAGGUGGGGACAAAAAACUAAUUGAAGAAAGGUGUGAGCAGCUAAGGAUAGCGAAGGAAAAGAGUAGUGCCAUGUUUGAUAAGGAGAAAGCUCAGGAGCGUUUAUCAAAGCUAUCUGGUGGUGUUGCUGUGUUCAAGGUCGGAGGGGCCAGUGAGGCGGAAGUUGGAGAAAGGAAAGAUAGGGUCGAACCCCCUUUGACGGAAAAAUAUACUAUUUAUACAUGAUUAAAAUUAUUUUUUAUGUGGUUAUAGUAGCUGUUGAAACCCCUUCGACUUAGUUUUCUUUGAAUAUUGAAUCCCCUUACUUGAAAUCCUGGCUCCGCCUCUAUCUUCAAUGCACUUUAAAUAAAAUAAUCCACCCUCUCUCUCUCUAAAUGAGUAACGUGGUUCAGAGUGCAAACCGUUCAAUCUCUGAGCUGAUUUUCAAUAUAAGAUAAGAUCAAUAACUAUCGAGAUCAUAAUUGUACAUUCAGAAACUAUAUAAAUUAGACUUUUUUGUUUAAAAACUGUUUAAAGAAAGUACAGUAAAUAAAACAAAGUUGUUGAAAAUUAUACUUGUUGCAUCUAAAAUGGGACAUUGGAAGUGCUAUUUUCCUAAUUGUUCUUGGGGCACAUUACAUUUAUAGAAUUUUAGUUGUUCCCUGCAUAUAGUGGAUUUUUCCACAACACGUCCUUUAUGAAAUAUUCAGAACAUUUUAAAAGCAAUUUGACAGCGACAUUCUCUUUUUGGUUAUUAAAUUUAUAUAUGCCGUUGUAAUAUAUGAUUCAGAAAUCUAUAUAUAUGCUUCUUAAUGGGCAUAGAAUACUUGAAAAGGAAAUAACAAGUUAGCUGCUAUUUACUCGUAAUUCUGUAAAAACAUAUGUUCGUUCUGUUUUGCAUAAGCAGGUAGGUACGAACAAAUGGUGAAGGCUGGAAUUAUUGAUCCUGUGAAAGUAGUUAGAACAGCAUUGGUGGAUGCUGCCAGCGUCUCUUUGUUAUUGACGACAACUGAGGCUGCCAUUGUGGACCGUCAAGGAGAGAUAAAUCCACUUGCAA